AGCAUGCUCCGGGGGCGGUGAAACUCCGCACCGGCGGUGAUAGCCCGCGAACCGCGCCAACUCCUCGCGAGAAGGCGCGGCCGACCUGGUGGAACUCCAGGGCCGACGGUGAAAGUCCGGAUGAGAGGCGCAUGCG
rnacentral:ncRNA from 2 species